GGACCUGACUGCUAUCGGAUUGAUACUAAGCCAUGCGAGUCUUUGUAGUAAUACAAGGCAGACGGCUCAGUAACACGUAGUCAAUCUAACCUAUGGACAGGGAUAACCUCGGGAAACUGAGAAUAAUACCUGAUAGAUCAUUAUACCUGGAAUGGUUUAUGGUCGAAAUGAUUUAUCGCCGUAGGAUGGGACUGCGGUCUAUCAGCUUGUUGGUGAGGUAAUGGCCCACCAAGGCUAUAACAGAUACGGGCUCUGAGAGGAGAAGCCCGGAGAUGGGUACUGAGACACGGACCCAGGCCCUAUGGGGCGCAGCAGGCGAGAAAACUUUGCAAUGUGCGAAAGCACGACAAGGUUAAUCCGAGUGU
rnacentral:rRNA from 1 species